rnacentral:tRNA from 1 species
GGAGGUGGAAGGGGCCGGGUGGCUCUCGCGGUCUUCAAAACCGUUGUGGGGCGCUGGUCAGCGUCCUAGGUGGGUUCGACUCCCAUGCACCUCCGCCA